AGUUGAAAUGAAGAGUUUGGAGGAACUCGGAUUCUCUCAUGAAACCUCCGAGUGGGCUUGCCCAGCCUUCGCUCAAGACGUGCAUCCAUUGCAGGUCGAUCGCGGUCAGCUCUACGCGCGGCAGCUCCGCCGCCUCGUGCUUCUUCUCUCGCCGCCGUGGCUCCUCCACGACGAGCUCCACCAGCUUCCCGCCAUCGGGCGCGAUCAGACCAGCUCGGAUUCCUCCGCGAAGGGUUCGCGAUUUCGAAGGGAAGGAAACGGAAGCGGCGGUUGCGGCGGCGAAGGGGAAAUCGGGAUUGAUAGAUUUGGUUAGUGGCUGAGAAAGGAAAGCGGUUUUGCUGAGAACGGCAGCCAUUGAAGCC
rnacentral:lncRNA from 1 species